rnacentral:rRNA from 1 species
UACGGAGGGUGCAACGUUGCUCGGAAUCAUUGGGCGUAAGCGCACGUAGGCGGCCUGAUAAGUCGGGUGUGAAAGCCCUGGGCUCAACCCAGGAAGUGCACUCGAAACUGUCAGGCUUGAAUAUGGAAGAGGGUCGCGGAAUUCCCGGUGUAGAGGUGAAAUUCGUAGAUAUCGGGAGGAACGCCGGUGGCGAAGCGACGUGCUGGACCUCUCU